GGAGGGGUGCCGGAGUGGUUGAACGGGGCGGUCUCGAAAACCGUUGUGGGCCUUCGGUCCACCGAGGGUUCGAAUCCCUCCCCCUCCG
rnacentral:tRNA from 1 species